GUCCCUGUCGCGCAAUGAGCAGUGCAUUGGAUUUCUAAUCCAAAGGUCUAGCUACAAAUCCUACCUGGGAUG